CAUGCAGUAAUAGGGUGCAUUGUUCAAGGUCGGUUUAAGGAUAUUAAUUGGCCGUGUUAAUGGCAAUGCGUUUUAAUAUGCAAGAUACAUAAUUACGCUAAACAAUGAAUUGAUAAAAGGAAAAUAUCAAGAAUAAAGAAAAUAUAUAGAUAAUUCGAUAAAGACAAGUAUGAAACAAACAAUAGGUCACGUUAACAAUUAUACUAAUAUUAGAAUUAAGAUUGUGUCAACAUUGGGAAACCAUAUGAAUGAUCUACUUUUGUUAUCUUUAAAAAUAAAUAAAAUGUAGGAGUUUAGUGACCACUUUAAGGAAAGUGGACCGUGCUAAAACUAUUCUGAAGUUUAUCAUAAUAUUAUACUAUUUAAGACAACAACUCUUAGUAUUUUACAUCAAAACAUAAUUCCACUACAGUUCUUGAUUUCAAAAUGGCGGAUAUGUCGGGAGGCGUUUUGGCGACAUCAUCAAAGAAAAAAGAGUGUACCCUGAGAAUGGGAAGUUCAAUUACAAGUCAGGGAGGAAUCGCAAGGGUUGGACCAUUCGUUCGGGUUGAAGAAACCGGACAGCUUUGCUUUCUGACGACAAAACCUUCUUUAAUUGAAGGCAUGAGAUCUGGCGUCAAAGUAAAUCAUAUCGUCGGUAAUGAAGUUUAUCCUUUGGGGACCAUAUUAAUUCCAGCAGGACUAGAGGGAGAUGUCACACUUGUUAGUGCAAAUCCGAAAUAUGUCCCGAAGGACAUUGGACAGAUUUAUCGAAAUAGAUCCGAUUUUUAUGACAUUGCCUAAUAGAUACAUUGCAUCAUCCAUGUACCUAACUAUAAUACUAGAUGGAAUUUCAAUAAAACACACAAUAAUAUCAAUCUGAGCAUUUAUAUGAUCAUACAGCUGAAAUGUGCAGUCUUCCUGUGUGAGUGCGCUAACUUUCGAAGAAAUGAACGGCGAAGACCAAUCUGGGACAAUACAAUUAGUUGUGUUUGCCGAGGAAGUGCGCAUGUCAGAAGCGCGAAUAUAUCCAUGUCCUUCACACUACGGUGGCUCUCAUGAAUCAAUUUGUCUGGUGGAAAUGCUUCCUCCGACCAAAGAUUUUUUUCGUGCGGGAGAUAGUGGGUCAGCUGUUUUUACAAUAGAUGAACACGGCUUUUUGCAUUGUGUAGGAUUAUUGAUGGGCAAAACCAAAGGAGAUCCAGAAUUAUUCAAGAUAAUGAAAAUCAAUGCGUGUAUGCACCAUUUUAAAGAGCAACAUGGAUACACAAUACAGAUGAUAGAAACGAACUUUGUAAGUACUUGUAUAUCCAUACUAGUAUAGCACGUAUUUUAACUCACUGGUGUGAACUUUCUUCACGUAUGUAUACUCCCCUAAUAACUCCCUGUAGGGUAUGGACAAGGCUUUUAUAAAUGUUUAAAAGAGGGCUAUGCAUUUACAUACUAAGUUUAGUAACAAUUAAUCAGUACUUUUGAUGUUAUAUAAAUAUUUGUAGCUAAAUUUUAAUUCUAUGAUAUUAUACUUAAGGUAAAUACAAUACGGUGUAGGUUUUUUAACAUACCCGGUAGUAAAUUAUCUCACUCCUCUCAAUCUACCUCACUUUGACGCGUGGAUAUAAACCGGAAAGUUUUUUUUUCCAAAUUUGGAAAGAAGGGAGGAUUGUAACAUAUGUCAGGUACAUAUAAAAUGUAAAGAAAAUGUUAAAUUUUGAGUAUAAUUUUUGAAAUUUUAUUUAAAUGUCCAUAAUUAUCAACUUACCUGACAUAUGUACAAUAGGAUUUGAUUUUCCAUGCAGUUCCUCCCGGAGGUUGGCUAUCUCUGUAAAAUUUUCUGCUUACCAAUAGAUAUUUUCCAUUUGUUUUAUUCCUUUAUUAAAAUCCCUCGUCUGUACCUAUCUACACUGUAUACAUAACUCUCGUCAUUCUACUGUCAAAAUUAUUAUUUAAAUAUGUAUACUAGUAUACGGUUUCACAGUUUAUCAUUCAAAUACUGUACAGCCAUAAACUGUAGAAAGGGCUUCUACCUCAUAUGAGCACAUCGACAUUGAUAUGUUUUUGAAUGUGCCGAAUAUAACUCGACUGAAAGGAAAGUCUAAUCCCCCAGAAAACUAGCACUGGGGGUUUUCAGAUACAUUUUACAAAGGUAUCGAUAGAAGCAUGACUCUAGUCUUUCAGUGGUGCUUCUCUAAGGAGAGCCCAUGACGGUCCAAAUGACCUAUUUUAUUAAUUUUUGACGUGUGCAAUGACAGUAUCGUUCAAUUUAAAUAUCUUUUGAAUAGUUUUUGUGACUUGUCGACUGCCUGGAGACAAACUUUCAUUUGUACCAGAUAUUGAUAUGGCAGCUUGCUUGCAUUUUCACAAGACUGAUUAAAAAAUCUGGACCUUAAGCAAGUUUUAUUAUUGGAGUUUGUGGGAAAAUCACAAUUGUUUUUAAAAUCAAAAAACAUUUUACAUUUCAUGUUUUAUUGAACCUUCUCACAGUUUUAAAUUAAUGUGCAUAUAUUAAUUGUAAAUGUCUUUGUGCAUAUUUUAGAUAACUGAUUGUAUUAAAUGAAAGAAGUCUGUUUAUUUCUUUCUGAUUUGAAGAAAUUAUUGGAAUUAUUUCUUGUCAACAGCAAUUUCAUUUUUAGAUAGAUAGAGACAU